AUUGAACGCUGGCGACAUGCCUUACACAUGCAAGUCGAACGGCAGCACGGGUGCUUGCCCCUGGUGGCGAGUGGCGAACGGGUGAGUAAUACAUCGGAACAUGUCCUGUAGUGGGGGAUAGCCCGGCGAAAGCCGGAUUAAUACCGCAUACGAUCUACGGAUGAAAGCGGGGGACCUUCGGGCCUCGCGCUAUAGGGUUGGCCGAUGGCUGAUUAGCUAGUUGGUGGGGUAAAGGCCUACCAAGGCGACGAUCAGUAGCUGGUCUGAGAGGACGACCAGCCACACUGGGACUGAGACACGGCCCAGACUCCUACGGGAGGCAGCAGUGGGGAAUUUUGGACAAUGGGCGAAAGCCUGAUCCAGCAAUGCCGCGUGUGUGAAGAAGGCCUUCGGGUUGUAAAGCACUUUUGUCCGGAAAGAAAUCCUUGGCCCUAAUACGGUCGGGGGAUGACGGUACCGGAAGAAUAAGCACCGGCUAACUACGUG
rnacentral:rRNA from 1 species